UAUGUAUUACUGCCCUUCUCAUGUAAUAUAACCUACUCAGAAUACAUUGCUUUUCUUUUAUAGGAUUACCGAUUACCUUGGAAGGAGAGUAGUCAUCCUUUGAAAUUAGAGCAAAAUGGUUCUUUAUAAAUUUUAAUACUUGUACAACGAUAAAUAUUUAUUAUGAUUAAUUUUAGUUGCUUGGUUUUGCUUGCUAAUUCCUGUGGGGCAGGUGCUUGGAAUUUUUCAGUAGUGGCCUUCUUUUGCAGGUCAGUUGCAGGGAGUUGAAGAGAGCUGAUCAUGUUGCUUUUCCUCUUAAAGGAUCCAAAAUGAAAGACAAAGCAAAUGAAAGUGUUUGGGCUGGUCUCUCCUAUAGCAUUGAAAUCAAGGAUGCUUACAUUCCACCGUGGAUAAUAUCAAGUAUAUGUGCAACCAUGGGUUCUGAAGGGAGGAGCUUUGAGGCAAGGUCAGUUGCGGGGAGUUGAAGAGAGCUGAUCAUGUUGCUUUUCCUCUUAAAGGAUCCAAAAUGAAAGAUGAAGCAAAUGAAAUCAAGGAUGCUUACAUUCCACCAUGUGCAACCAUGGGUUCUAAAGGGAGGAGCUUUGAGGCAAGGUAUGACAAAUUUUGUCACUGUGCCUGAUUAGCCCUGAUCUCACCACAAAAAGCUGCAGUAAUGGUAGAAGAAUAAAUAUAUGUAACUGGGAGCUUUGGCUUUCAGUUAUUCAUCUUACUGAAAAUCAUGUCAUUAGAUAUUAUUUUACGCACUUGUUCAUGUUUGUUGGCA